ACGUAAUAGAUACCCGGGUAGUCCACGCCCUAAACGAUGUCUACUAGUUGUUGGUGGAGUAAAAUCCAUGAGUAAACGCAGCUAAACGCGUGAAGUAGACCGCCUGGGGAGUACGGUCGCAAGAUUAAAACUCAAAUGAAUUGACGGGGGCCCGCACAAGCGGUGGAUUAUGUGGAUUAAAUUCGAUGCAACGCGAAAAACCUUACCUGGCCUUGACAUGUAACGAACUUUCCAGAGAUGGAUUGGUGCUCGAAAGAGAACGUUAACACAGGUGCUGCAUGGCUGUCGUCAGCUCGUGUCGUGAGAUGUUGGGUUAAGUCCCGCAACGAGCGCAACCCUUGCCAUUAAUUGCCAUCAUUUAGUUGGGCACUUUAAUGGGACUGCCGGUGACAAACCGGAGGAAGGUGGGGAUGACGUCAAGUCCUCAUGGCCCUUAUGGCCAGGGCUUCACACGUAAUACAAUGGUCGGUACAGAGGGUUGCCAACCCGCGAGGGGAGCCAAUCCCAGAAAGCCGAUCGUAGUCC
rnacentral:rRNA from 1 species